rnacentral:rRNA from 1 species
UACGGGGGGAGCAAGCGUUGUUCGGAAUCAUUGGGCGUAAAGGGCGUGUAGGCGGUUUGCUAAGUCAUGUGUGAAAUCCCUCGGCUCAACCGGGGAACGACGCAUGAAACUGGCAAGCUAGAGUACCAAAGAGGGGGGUGGAACUCCCGGUGUAGCGGUGAAAUGCGCAGAUAUCAGGAGGAACACCGGUGGCGAAGGCGGGUCUCUGGGCCGGAACUGACGCUAAGGAGCGAAAGCGUGGGGAGCGAACAGG